UAAAUCCGAUAAAAAAAAGAAAGAUAGAAGGUUGGACACCAAUUAAAAUCUGGAAUAUGGGAGAAUUCGCCCUCUUUCAAUGGAGGUGUGGCCGGUAGUUAUCAAUUCAUUCUAUUGCCAUUUUCCUUAACUGAUUGGAGGAUCACCUUUGACCUGCCCGAACUGCUAAUAUAGCUAGUUUGCAUGCCGAUCAUUUCCUAGAGGUAGGAGCGGUCCCCUUUCAGUCAAAGUCGUAGAAGGUCCAGUUGCUUCUUGCUUUUGCUUGAGUUCUUGUCCCUGCUUUCCUGAAGGAAGGAAUUUUUUUGUUGCUCAAAUGAGCGAUUUCUCUUUCCAAGCCGUCGAAUUCUUCGAUUGGGGAAUGGGGGCUUUUCACAGCGAUUUAUGCCAACCCUGUUGAAGCUUUGAAAGAUAAAUUAUGGGAAGCUUUGUUGAAGGAGGCAGAUAAAAUUGAUAAGCCUUGGCUUCUUGCGGGUGAUUUCAACACUUAUAAAUCCCUAGACGAUAAAUGGGGAGGCUCUAUAGAUUGAUUAAGUAAAGAUUUGUUAUGAUUACAGAACGGACAGGUCGUUUCAUCGAAGGAUCAACAGAGGAGACGGGGACACAUUAGAAGAAGUGUUUUCAUCCUAGUCAAGAAAUGGAAAUUCACUCUUUGUUCACCCGCCCAAGUUCAGAUGAUAGAAGAAGAAAGAAAGGACAGUGUGGUUCCAGGUGCCGUCGCGUCAUUGAGAUCUGCGCUGCGGGUGGCAGGGACUUCGACUGCCUUGUAUCGGGUGAAGAGAAGGGGUGGUAGGCUUAGUAGGGCUCGAACCUACAAUAUCACGCAUGAGAUUCCAGAGGGUCCAUUACAUCCACCAACAGAGGGUCCAUCCUCCACCAACUGCUAUCAUCCCUGGGCCGACAACACGUACUCCACCUUCCUUACUCAGUCCAGAACCGGCAUAACAGACCCAAAAAGUAAUUCAUUCAGGCCGAAGGAAAAAGAAAGAGCUUACCAAAUAAAAUAAUAUUUUUUUAAGAAAUUGAAGAAGGAAUUGGCUUUUAAAAAGCAGGAUUUGUUGAAUAGGUUAGUUACAUUAAUAGAUGUUCUUUGGCCCUCACUUUAGGGCUAUCUUUCACCGUUGACAGACAUGGUUCAACGUGACAGGUACGGUUCCUCAAUCAAUAGAUGACUCAAGGUUGUUGUUUUCUAUCUGCUAUGGGGAAGGAGGACAGAGCUUUCGAGCGGAAAUACAAAAUUUUGAAUGGUUAUAAACAGAUUCCUUUCUUACUACCCAGUCUAUAUGCAAUACACAUGCAGUCUGUGUUAUCAUAGAAAGGCGGUCUCAAGAGAUGGAAAGCAACAGACCGGUUCCUGCAAAGAACAACUUGAAUUAAACCAUUGGGCGACGGCUUUCCUUUCCAGAAGGAAUGACUCUAUCGCCGGCAGCACAACCACUCAUUCGUCCUGACUAAAUAGUAGAAUCUAUCUCUCAGCGAUUCUUUUCUCCACUAAUAACCCCUUCCCAACAGCAUCGGUAAAAUCCCUAUAAAAAAAGAAUAUGCCGGAAUGGUGGGGAAGGAGGCCCUCCCUACUUUAAUGGAAAGGGGGGAAUCGCCUUUCUUUCACCUCAGUAGUGAGCGUUACUAGAUCUGAUUUAACUGAAUAUGGGACUUGGAUAUGCUCUUGCUCUCGGCAGAUAUACUGGGCGAGAUAGUGACAAAGGGGAAACUCGAACUUGUUUUGUUUGCAGAAGCAUCUAUGGACCAGGUUCACAUUAUCAGUGAGUGCUUGGAACAAUUUUUUCAUUUUUUCAGGGCAGAAGGUAAGCAAGUUGAAGACACGGGUUUAUUGUUCUAAAAAUGUUUCCAGAGGACUUUCACAAGCCAUUAGUAGGGAGUUUGCAAAGUGUUCACUUCUUUUCGCCAGGUUUCAUUCGAUUUGUUGUGGAUUGGAUGAUGGAAAAACCAAGCAAGUCC